rnacentral:lncRNA from 1 species
UCAACGGCGCGUGGCCCCCGAGGAAGACCUACAAGCAGAAGCAGGAAGAGAGGAUUAGAACUAGGACACCAUAGAUCUACGACUGCGAGAACAAGAUCGGGAGGAUUCGGGAUGAACUCAUCUAGAUCUAGGGUUAGGGUAAUGGAUUACCUGCGAAGCCAAAGCUCAGAGCCGGAAAGGAUGACUGGAUGAGAUGCCGAGAGGGGAGACUGCGAGAGGACGAAGGCUAACGGUGGCGACUAGCGAGCAAGACCUCCACCGCUCUGCAGGACCGGGAGUGGGAGGAGGAGAGGAGGACCUGGAGAUCUCACCGUCACCGGAGAUGAGAGGGAGAGAGGCAAGACCACGAGAGCAGCGGGUGGGCGGGCGGCGGCUGGCGGCGGCAGAAGAGCCGAAGCCGAGAGAGCGAGAGUGAAAGGUGAGGGAUGUGGGCGGUCGCUGGGAGGAGUCGAGGAGACGGGGGAAGGGGGUAGGGUUGCGAGGGGCGCGGCCGGCCGCCGGGGGGAGUUAUACAUGACUCCCCUUCCUGGACCUUGGGUUGGGCCAACACCGCAGCGCGACCGUUGGCUUACGGGCCGGCUAUGGGCCAACCAUUCGUAUGCGGGUCGGGCCGUGCCGCCCGUCGUGCCGAGACGUCGGUCCAGGCCUGGCACGAGCCACCGAGUCGGGCCAGCCCGAGUCUGAAGGGCUAUGAGCUGGGUCAAAAAAUCGGGCUUCGUGCCGGGUUGCGGGCUGCAUGGCCAACUAUAGCCCCGGGUCGAGCCGCGCGGUGGCGCGACGCAAGGGCUAGGCGGCGCAGGGGCGGAUUCAGGUGCAGCCCGGGACGAGCCCAUAAAACUGCAUGUAUUUCCACGUUUUAUGCCGUAUAAAUCGACCUUAUAGCAUUAAAUCUACCUCGUUGUAAAAUGGAUUUGCCUCGGUCCAACCCGGGUCCGGCUGCAGUUCUGCCUCCGCCCCUGGGGCGGCGCAUGGCCACGAGGCGGGAUGGCGAUGGCGGCGACGGCUGUGUCAGCCCGCCGCGGCCGGCACUACUCAUCGCCGCGGGGACAGCGGCCGUAGCAGUUUCGCCGUCGCUCGCCGCGGCUAGCCCGCGCAAGCGCGGAGAGGCACUUCGCCUAGGAGCAUCGUCAGCGCGGCUGGUCUGCGUCAUGGAUCAGCCCUUCGGCGAGUCUGCGUCUCGCCGCCGCCGACUAGCAAGUGUCGGCUUCUUCCAGGCCGGAUCUGGCUGGAGAUGCCGCUGGAGCUGCCGUCGUCGACGCCACCGCAGUGCGCGGCGCAACCCCUCCAUGGUGUCGCUCGGCGGGGCCGUGGCACGAGACGGGCGUCAGCAGCAGCGGGGGGCGGCACAGCUGCUGCAGCUCUACCUUCUCGACGCGCGGUUCCCCGGAACACAGACUAGGCGCUGGUAGAGGCCAGCAACCUCGCGUUCUCGUGGCCACCCCUUUCCUGUUCUUCCCUCUCCUUUCUUUUGUUGGUUUAUAUUUUUUUCACUCUUUGGUGAAUGGAUUUCUUGUUUCUGUUAUUUGCGGAGAUGGACUGAGCGAUGUCUCACUUGUAUCGGCAUCUUUGCUUUAGAGUAAGAGCACGCCAUAGUCACCUCACUCAUUUAGAGUAAGAGCAGCUCGCAUGUUAUUGAUAUUGAUGCACAUGGAGUAUUUUGGGAGAUUCUAUUAUUUGUGUUCUUAUCAAUAUAUUCAUGUACAUGGGUGAGUAACAUGUGCUGCGUGGUACAUUAUGAUUGUUGUUUCUCAGUAAUGGUUAAUGGGUACAUUACAGAUAAUAUUCUUAGCAAUGGUUAUUGGUUAGAGCAUGUGAGUGCAUCUGAAAUACAGCGUGG